GCUUCUGUGGUUAAGUGAUUAGAUCAUCAGCCUGAAGGGUCACAGGUUCGACUCCUGGUCAAAAGCA
rnacentral:tRNA from 1 species